rnacentral:rRNA from 1 species
UACGUAGGGUGCAAGCGUUUGUCCGGAAUUAUUGGGCGUAAAGAGCUCGUAGGCGGUCUGUCGCGUCGGCUGUGAAAACCCGGGGCUCAACCCCGGGCCUGCAGUCGAUACGGGCAGACUAGAGUGCGGUAGGGGAGACUGGAAUUCCUGGUGUAGCGGUGAAAUGCGCAGAUAUCAGGAGGAACACCGAUAGCGAAGGCAGCUUACUGGGCUGUAACUGACGCUGAUGCACGAAAGUGUGGGGAUCAAACAGG